rnacentral:lncRNA from 1 species
CUUCUGAUGACCAGUGGAGACGUCAGCUCAUCAGAAGUCAGAAGCCAGUAUUGUCUCAAAGACAUGCACCAGCACCCAUGGAAACAGCAGCACUUUGCUGGCUACAUCAGAACCCUUUAUGGGCAAUCUGCGUCUGUCUGAGACUCUUUCUGAGAAACUUGAAAGGUCUUGCUCACUCCCUCUCCUUUAUUUUGCCUUGCUACUUUUUAAAAGGAGGGAUGCUUUUGCUAUUUUCUUGCCUGUAAAUGUUCUUGGGCAGAAAUAAGUGAGGAUUCUUGCACAAGUUCUGUUUCUCCAGAGAAGAUCAGGUCUGCAGUCUCAAUUCAUUCCUGGUAGCAGCAGCCUUCUUUCCCUGGGAACUCUGGGUUAGCAGGCUUGGACCUGCUGCUUCCAGCAACCACACUCCGACUGGCUGGCUGGCUGGUCUACAGGUAGCCUCACAUGUCACGGCCUGCAGAGUUGGAGUUGACCUCAGAGCAAAAUGCCAGGAAGUGUCAGCUGUUGAAUUUAUCGAGCAGUAAGAGCUCACCCAGCGGCGCCGAGAAAUAGUUCAUGUGACCUUUUUCCAGACUACUGCAGACUGGCUCCCAGAACAAAUCAUGUCAUCAAUUAGUCUUUCUCCAAAUUCCUAUAUCAGCUGCUAAGGAAGAAAAACAGCAAGCUCAUAGGAGGAUUCAGGGGACAGGAGCAACUGCUGAGUCAGAACCACAGCACAGCAUCGGGCGGCUUCCAAGAGGAGGCAUCAGAAGUCCUCCUUCUGCUCCAGUUAUUAGCCUUCUCUUGACAUCCCCCAACAGGGAGAGGUGGGGAGCACAUAAAAGCCAGGGGAAGUGGCUCCGUGAUUGUGAUUGCUUCAGCUGCAGUAGGAAGAGCUCCUUAAGUAGCGAGGUAACCCACUAUCCUGUCCAAACCCACCUGACUCAUCGCAGACUGUGUUCACUGUUCAUUUUGUUUUCCAGAGAAGGAAUGCAGCCCCGUGGGGGAGAAGGAACCUGGGUGAGAACUCAGUUAACAGACCCACCUUUGCCUUUCUCAUCUGUAAAAUGGAAGUAGUUAUAUCUAGAAUCCUCCGGAAGAUUAAAUUGUAGGACAAGUGCACUCAGCGUCUGUCCACAGAUGGAAGGCUUGACUGAGGAACAAGCGAGCCGCUUGGAGGCUUAGUAGUAAUGUCAUUGUCAGAAUGUCUCCCUUUAUCUUUCCUAAAUCUGCGGGUUAAGCCUCUGGCUCAGGUUCACUCAUGGCUGCCAAUGUAUCCCCCGACAGGAUCUGUUUCUGGUUUCAAAGUUCUGAUCACAAUAAGAAAGACAUGCAUAUGAAAGGUUUCCCCCAAAUCUUAACUCUGAAGAGGGGCAGGGUUUAUUAAUAUCCACCAGGAAUCUCAGGAGUCACCUCAUCAACCAGAAAGCAGAGGUUCAAGUGGAGAUGUUGGCACUAUACAUUAAGCACAUGGGCUGUGGCCAAGCAUGGUGGCAUACAGCUGUAAUCUCAGUGGCUUGAGAAGGUGAGGCAGGAGGAUCGCAAGUUCAAAGCCAGCCUCAGCAACUUGGUGAGGCCCUAAGCAACUCGGCGAGACCCUGUCUCUAAAUAAAAUAUAAGAAGGGGCUGAGGAUGUGGUUUAGUGCCCCUUGGUUCAAUCCCUGGUACCAAAAAACAAAAAACAUGAGCUUUUGUUUUCUAAUCUUCAAAAUCAGCACAGUAACCUCAGAGUGUUUCCAUCAGGGCUAUGUGAGAUGGCGGAGCAGCCUCUAAUCAGUUCCCUCUAUCAGAAUGCUUACUUGUCCAAUUGAUGAACUGUCAUCUAUCAUCAAGCCCGGGGGUAAUGGAAGGGGUGACUCCUGGGCAUGGCUGUUCAUAUUUUAUGUAGACCACUCCCCCACUCUCCGUGUGCAUGCAGACACCACUGGACAGCUGUCAGGCCUAGUGAUGGACACUUCAAUAGUACAGACCCCUUCAGGACAGACCACACCCAGAGAAGUAGGCUUGGCCUGCUUGAAUAAGCAACUUUGGGGUCCUGGAACCUACAGUUCAGUCUGGGAGGACACCCAGUAAAGCAGUCAGGCAGGGGCUUCUCUUGCCUGGGGUACUGGCUAGAGUAUGCAGUGAGAUAACAUCUAAAUCACCCCCUUUCACAAGGGCCAAAAUAGAUCUCCAAAACUUCCAAAUCCCCAGGAUCUUGAAGUGGAUCCUAAUGGGGACACUUCGUACAGCUGAAACACUCCAUUAAGUCAUUCACUAGCCAGUCCUUGGUCCAGGACUGUUGGGCUCCUCCCAAAGGAGCCUGCUUAAGGCUCUGGUUGUCUCUGUUCUUCCCAAAGCCAUUCAGGGCAGGAAGCCAAAAAGCACUAUGGAAAAGCAGAUGUAUAAUGUUUUGAACUAAGUAAGCCUCCGUUACCCCAUCAUCCUGGGUUUCUGCAAAGUGAGGAAGUGCCUUUCAGGAGGAGGUAACCUCAUCCCUUCCACGGGCUGGCCACAGGCAGGGCCUGAUUCCCCUAAGACUUUCCUCCUUAUAUAAGCCAAGUAUGUGUUCAGAAAUGUUGAGAGGUGGUGGGGUAUGGCUUCCUGGUACAGCACUCACCUAUCGUGCUUGAAGCCCUGGGUUUAAUUCCUGGCACCAGCCACCCCACCACCACCAAAAAAAAAGCUGGGGGAGGGGCUCUCGUUUAAAAAAAAUAACAACUACUGCCCUAGGUGGUUUGCUCUCUUAGAAUUGAACCAAUCACUGAGACUCUUAGUAAAUAUGUUACAAUUAAGGAAUUGGGAAUUGGGGAUGCUGUUUAACUCUUAGUUGGACAGUCAGGCAUUGCAAUAGGCUCACCAGGGGAAGUACAGUGAUUUCUAAAGUCUAAAACUACAUGCCUAUAAUUUAGGUCUUGUUUCCAGAAAAAUUUACCCCUCUCUUCCCUAUUGUUAAUUAUUUCAUCUUUUCCUGAAGUGGGGGAACAAUAAUAGCUGUGAGUACUUUAUCAAUAGGAAGGAACUGCCUACCAUCCUAGCAAUUUGGGAGGUUGAGGCAGGAGGACUACAAGUCCAAGGCCAGGCUCAGCGAUUUAGUGAGACACUCAGCAACCUUGUGAGACCAUGGCUCAAUAAAAUAAAAAAGGCCUGUGGAUGCUGCUCAGUGGUAAAGCACCCCUGGGUUCAAUCCCCAGCACCAAAAUAAAAUAAAAUUAAAAAGUUAGAAACUAUGAGAUUUUCUGAGAAGCUUUCCCCCACGUCCAGCAUCGCCUUCUCACGGAGUAACAGCAUUUCGUUAGGGAGAUGUUGCUAUUGACAAAUUGCUGUUGUAGUUAAUCGUUGCCCAUUUUAGUAACUCUCAGCCAUUCAUCUAAGAUGGCCAGCAGUGUUAAAACAAACAACAAACGGAAGUUCUCCCUACUUGACUCCCAGUCCACCUGUCUCCCCUCCUUCCUAUCCCUUGCUUUUUGGGUCUCCUACCCUUGGCUGGUCAAGGUUCCUGGCCUCAGGUUCUAUGGUAUCCUUGCUUCCUUGUACCAUGGCACUUGUCACACUUGAUUGCAACAGUCCCCUCCCUUGCCUACCAUGCCAAAAUGUGCCUCCUUCAAGGCAAGGGACAUGCUUAACUUACUCUGUAUCUUUAGCAUUUAAUGUGACAUAUAAUAAAGGCUUGAUAAGUGAACAUAAUUUCAAUGAGGAUACACUAGCUACCUUUACUAACCCUUUUCCUGAGUUUCUAAGGAUGAGAAGCUGGAUUUGCAGGAUGCCAGGACCCUAGCAACCCAGGCAGUGACUAGAGUGGGGACUUUUGUCAGAACCUACUUGUCAGAACCAGG